rnacentral:pre_miRNA from 1 species
AUAGGAAUCCCCUAGGUAUUUUGUUAAAAUGCAAAUUAUGAUCAGGGGCAGGGCCUGAGAAUCUGCAUUUCUAACAAGAUGUCAGGUGAUUCCAAU